CACGUAGGGGGCAAGCGUUGUCCGGAUUUAUUGGGCGUAAAGAGCUCGUAGGCGGCUCGGUAAGUCGGGUGUGAAACCUCCAGGCUCAACCUGGAGACGCCACCUGAUACUGCUGUGGCUAGAGUCCGGUAGGGGAGUGUGGAACUCCUGGUGUAGCGGUGAAAUGCGCAGAUAUCAGGAGGAACACCAAUAGCGAAGGCAGCUCGCUGGGACGGUAUUGACGCUAAGGCGCGAAAGCGUGGGGAGCAAACAGG
rnacentral:rRNA from 1 species